UCCCUGGUGGUCCACCAUAUAAGACUGCACUCCCAAUGCAGGGGUCUCAGGUUCGAUCCCUGUUCAGGGAA
rnacentral:tRNA from 1 species